CAGGACUCAGCCCAGAGAGCCUGCUGGAUUUGGGGCUCUGUGUGGAAGGGCGAGGAGACAUCGCAGUGCCACUCUGACACUGCAUACAUUUUCCUAAAGCACAGGAAAGGAAACAGAAGGCUCCAGGGAGCCCCAGGACUUGACCUCUGGGAUUGGGCCAUUCUAAGGGCAGGCUCAGCAGUCUCUCUGCUCUCCAGGAAAGGCGUUCCCUCUACGGGAGACAGCUCUGGGCUUGCUUUGAGGGCUCCAGACUGGAUUCAGCAUACGCGGGAGCUGGGGGAGGGCGGCUUGCAAGGCGGUGAGCUCCCCGCCACUGGAAGCUGGAAGCUACAGGGAAGCUUCCGCGGAGGACUGGCGAUGGCUUCUUUGCUCCAACAGCUGCUCCUUGUGCCAGGCUCAGGCUGAGUUACAGCUAGAGGUGCAGUGGCUACAAGAGUUUCUGCUCACGGUCAUGGAAGAGAAAGAAAAUGAACAAGUCUUCAGAGCCUGGGACCUUUCAUUGUGAAAGAGGAGAGGACAAGCUUUUCCCAUGCGGGUGAGCAGCGAAUCCAAGUUGCCUGUCUCCACUCUUCAAAGGCAGGAAAUUGUUUCACCAUGUUCCACAAAAGGAAUAUGGUCUGCAAAUGGAAGAAUCAUUUGGGAAAGCAGCUUAUGCAGGAGCCCCAGGAGGGUGGCUGCAGUUGAUUCAAUGGUCUCAUGACGGUGUGAUGUGUGAUGCAGUAGCCUCCUGGCAAAGAAGUGCCCCCAAGCAGACCCGCUGUAUCCUUGGACCCUGCAGCAGCCAAACUACAAUACAUAGCCACAGGCAUUGGCUUUGCCCAUCCAGUCCCCUCUAUACAGCCCAUUCAUAUGACCUGAGCACUAAAUAAAGACCUCAGAAUGGCAGAGAUACAGCCAGGGAGCCGCUGCUUACUAAAUUACUAAAAUGUAAUGCCUCACUGGGUUGGAUGCCGGCAUUGGCAGGGCUUUUGUUUGUUGGUUUGUCUAUUUGUUUAGCAAAAUUAGCAAGCAAAAUUAAACCCUUGUCACCUUCUUCAGCCGGAAUGUGAGCUGGAAGACCAUUCUCCAGAGCAGAGCCUUCAUUUGCAGGCUUUUCUAUAACUGGGGAGCAGUGGAGGGACAGGAGGUGGAAGGGCACUGCUGUAACCACCACAGGGCAUCUUACUCAGCCCCAGGAGUGAAAGUGGAAAGAAAAGCACAGGCAGAGAGACCUGCACACUUUCCCUGCUCCCUAGAGGACCCUGCCAAUCCCGGGCUGUCUGGGUACUGCCUCCCAGGAGCUCUGUAGGAAACUGGAAAGGGAGUGGUUGGAAACACAGUCUCUGCAGUCGGAGCUGGAACAAGUCACUGAAUCCCUCUGUGUCUCCACUUCCUUGUUUUAUCUCAAGGAUGAUAAUACUAGCAUAUAUCUCCCAGGGUGGUUGUGAAGGUUCAAUAAGGUGCAUAUGCAAUAUGCUUAGCACCAAAACUGGCUCGUAAUUACAUGCACAAUAAAUGCUAGCUUUCAUUAAUGCUGUCUGUCACGUGUGAGAUAAAGCUACUGGUCCCAGGAGGCCUCUACUCCUGCUAGGAUGCAGUUCCCUUGGGCAAAUGGUACUCCCAGGGCUGGUGCGCAGCGCCUCUGAGCAGCUGACAGCCAAGAUUAGAUGAGUUAAGACUGUGUCUCCUACCUCCAUUUGCAAAAUCCUCUAUAAAAAGGUAGAGUAGGUAAGGUGGAAGGAGAGAGUGAGUCACCCUUCCUGGAGCACAAGCCAGCGGCGCCCUGACCCCCACCUGUGCUGUGUCCCAUCAAGCUCCCGUAAGAGGCCUGUGUACAUCCUGCUGUCUUUCCCCAGCACAGCCUGCUUUGCACCUCCUCCAAGAUCCUGCUAUAUGGAGGUGAUUUGGGAGGAAGACAGGACCAUGGGUUUCCCUGACCUGCCUAUUUCUUUGUCCUAAAUAGUGUUACCGAGCCCCAGGUCUUCAGGCAUAAAGGGACCUCUCAGGCUGGGACAACACAGUGCAUCUUAGAGGGAGCCACCAUGAACUCUGGAACCUUGGUGCCACGUGACAUCCAAGGACAUUUGUGUAACUCAGCAGAGUAAAUGAGGACAAGGAGGACUAAAUUGCUAUCUGAGAUCGCCUUUCCCAUCAGCAAGAUGGUGGAACUGGGGUUCUCAGUGUCCAGUUUAAGUUGAUUUAAAGAAACUUGAGAAUUGUAAUAUGUAUUGCAUGCUGCAAUCAUGAACUAUCGCUCAUACCUGCUGCACAUCUAGCCCCCCUCCCUUCCUCCGCUGCCACUUUUGGUCCAGCAUGAAAAGACCUCCUAGCUGGUCUCCCCACAUCCUCUUGUUCUCCUUCUGCCUACUCUGCACAUGGCAGCCACAAUGACAUUUGUAAAAUGGAUAUCUGGUCAUGCUUCUCCUUUGCUAAGACCCUAGGAGGACCACCACUGCUGCUCAGCAACCCACCCCCCACUGGCUCUCAGCCACCCACUCCACCCCAUCCUCUUUGGCGCCAGGCUCCAGCUGUCUCCAUCAUUGCCAGCUUUCACUGAGCUCUCACAGUAGGCCUGAAGCUCUUCCACUUAUUGUAUGACCUCAUUUAGUCUCAACUCCUUGGGAGAUAUCUUCACAGAGGCACAGUGAAGUUAAAUUAUUUGGCUAGGAUUGCCAAGCCAGGGCCCCAAACCUAGUCCCAGCCCAUCUCUUCUAUCUUAAUAAAUAUCAUCAGCUGCCCAGCAUGUCAUGCCAGAUGCCCAGGAGCCACCUUCCAUCCUCUUCCUCCAUCACCCCCUAUAUUUACUGCAGCAGCAAGGCCUGUGGAUUUUCAUUCACCUGCCUCCCGUGCACACAUUUGUCCCUUCCACUGCCGUCUCGCUGGUCCAGUCACCACCAUCCCUCACUGGAACAACUCCAGCAGCCUCCUCGCUGGAUGGCCUGCUCUAAUCAUGCCCUCUGUUUGUUUCUCUUCCUCUCUCCUUUCCUCCCUCCUUUCCUUCUUUGCUCUCUUCCUCUCUCCUUCCAUCCUUUCUCCUUUUUCUUUCCUUUUUUUUUUUUUUUUGACAGAGUCUCACCCAGGCUGGAGUGCAGUGGCAUGAUCUUGGCUC
rnacentral:lncRNA from 10 species